UUUAAUCAGUUGUGUUAUUCGAUCAUUCACAAGAAUUUAGAGAAUUUACGAUAUGGUUUUGUGGAAAAUUGAAAGAACCCACUUGGUAAAAAAAUGAAAACUCUGAAACUCUGAAGAUAGCAUUAAAUAUACGACGUUAUAUAUACGAGGAAUCGUCGAAACUUACACAUGUAGAGAAACCAAGAUAAGCUGAAGUUGAAGUCGGAGAUGAUAAUCAUUAUAGUUCAGGUGGCAGUGGCAGUUUAGAAUACAAUAACUUGACCGUUUAUUUGGAAACAAUAAGUAAAAAGACCAUGACAUUAGCUAUAGCAAAACUUGGCAAGCUGACCAACCAACUGUGCAACAAGAAAAUGUUAGAUUCAUCUCUUCAGCUGAAUAAGAAUGAUGUUCUUGAAAUAUUUAAAAUUAUUUGAUAUCCAAAUUUAAAGGACAUGUGAAAAUGAUAAAAUAGUAUUAUCCGAUGAGAUUGUCAAUUGUUAAUUCAUUACAAAUUAUUUAGAUAAAAGAAAAAAAUAUAAAUUGGACACCCUGAAUAACUUUUAUAUUGUGUUGUUUGAAUAAUUACAAGACAGACUGUCAACGUGUAAAUGUAGUGUACAAACGAAAUAUGAUCAGCUGGAUGAUUCAUAACCCGCAUCAACGAAAUAGGAGGGUGAGGCACUAAACUGAAGGAGUAAUACUCUGCAAUCGCAUAAUAGGAGGGUCUAUCAAUACGCUUGGGGAGAUUCGUAGACUGUAGCAUUGAUAGAGGAUAGGAGAAUAAAAAAUGAAGUGAACAAGUUGAGUUUAUUAACUAUUAUUGCAUUAAAUUUUAUAAUGAUGAAUUACAUUUUCUAAUUUGUUGAAAGGAAUUUCUUCCAAGAAGGAACAUUAAAUGAAGUGAACUUUCUGUGUUUAACAAAUGGGGAAAAAAUUAUAAAUAUAUUACAAGUUUCUAUAUUUGUUUGAAAGAUUUGAUAUUACUUGGAAGAAAUUUCUUCCAACUUCAUAGAGGACGACAAUUAUCACAAGUUAAGUUUAUUAGCUAAACUUGCCUACUUUAUUAGAAAUGAUUUUCCUAAUUAGUUGGAAGAAAUUUCUUCCAAGAAGGAACAUUAAAUGAAGUGAACUAUCUGUGUUAAAAAAAUUGAAAUUAAUAUGUAAAUGUAUCAAAUGUUUCUAUAUUUAAUGGGAGAAAUUUUGAAUGGUUUGAUAUUACUUGGAAGAAAUUUCUUCCAACUUGAGAGAGGAUGAAAACGAAAUGAACAAGUUGAGUUUAUAAACUGAAAUUGCCAACUUUAUUAGAAAUGAAUUUUCUAAUUAGUUGGAAGAAAUUUCUUCCAAGAAGGAACAUUAAAUGAAGUGAACUAUCUGUGUUAAAACAUUGAAAUAAAUAUGUUUAAAUGUAUCAAAUGUUUCUAUAUUUGAUGGGAGAAAUUUUGAAUGGUUUGUUAUUACUUGGAAGAAAUUUCUUCCAAAUUGAGCGAGGAUGCAUAUGAAGAGAACAAGUUGACUUUACUAACUAAAAUUGUAUACUUUAUUGGAAUAAAAUACGUUUUCUAAUUUGUUGGAAGAAAUUUCUUCCAAGGAAUCGGGAAAGUUUUAUGAACAAAAUGUAGAGAACGAUUAUUGCUUUCCAUUUUAUUCAUUUAUAGGUUACUGUUCUUCAUUUCAUUGUGAUUUGAAUAUUUUGUAAAAUAUAAAUAGUAA